rnacentral:rRNA from 1 species
AUUGAACGCUGGCGGCAGGCUUAACACAUGCAAGUCGAGCGGGGUGAGGUGCUUCGGUACUGAUCCUAGCGGCGGACGGGUGAGUAAUGCUUAGGAAUCUGCCAUUUAGUGGGGGACAACAUUCCGAAAGGGAUGCUAAUACCGCAUACGUCCUGCGGGAGAAAGCAUGGGAUCUUCGGACCUUGCGCUAAAGGAUGAGCCUAAGUCGGAUUAGCUAGUUGGUGGGGUAAAGGCCUACCAAGGCGACGAUCUGUAGCGGGUCUGAGAGGAUGAUCCGCCACACUGGGACUGAGACACGGCCCAGACUCCUACGGGAGGCAGCAGUGGGGAAUAUUGGACAAUGGGCGGAAGCCUGAUCCAGCCAUGCCGCGUGUGUGAAGAAGGCCUUUUGGUUGUAAAGCACUUUAAGCGAGGAGGAGGCUACCUAGAUUAAUACUCUGGGAUAGUGGACGUUACUCGCAGAAUAAGCACCGGCUAACUCUGUGCCAGCCGCCGCAGUAACAC